UACGUAGGGCGCAAGCGUUAUCCGGAAUUAUUGGGCGUAAAGAGCUCGUAGGCGGUUUGUCGCGUCUGCCGUGAAAGUCCGGGGCUCAACUCUGGAUCUGCGGUGGGUACGGGCAGACUAGAGUGAUGUAGGGGAGACUGGAAUUCCUGGUGUAGCGGUGAAAUGCGCAGAUAUCAGGAGGAACACCGGUGGCGAAGGCGGGUCUCUGGGCCGAUACUGACGCUGAGGAGCGAAAGCGUGGGGAGCGAACAGG
rnacentral:rRNA from 1 species